CCUACGGGAGGCAGCAGUAGGGAAUCUUCCACAAUGGGCGAAAGCCUGAUGGAGCAACGCCGCGUGGGUGAAGAAUGUCUUCGGAUCGUAAAACCCUGUUGUUAGAGAAGAAAGUGCGUGAGAGUAACUGUUCACGUUUCGACGGUAUCUAACCAGAAAGCCACGGCUAACUACGUGCCCGCAGCCGCGGUAAUACGUAGGUGGCAAGCGUUAUCCGGAUUUAUUGGGCGUAAAGGGAACGCAGGCGGUCUUUUAGGUCUGAUGUGAAAGCCUUCGGCUUAACCGGAGUAGUGCAUUGGAAACUGGCAGACUUGAGUGCAGAGGAGGAGAGUGGAAGUCCAUGUGUAGCGGUGAAAUGCGUAGAUAUAUGGAAGAACACCAGUGGCGAAGGCGGCUCUCUGGUCUGUAACUGACGCUGAGGUUCGAAAGCGUGGGUAGCAAACAGGAUUAGAUACCCUGGUAGUC
rnacentral:rRNA from 1 species